rnacentral:rRNA from 1 species
UAACCCAAAGUUAGGUUAGUGGCGAACGGGUGAGGAAUACAUGGACAACGUACCCCGGACACGGGAAUAGCGGCGUCCGCCUUCGGGCGGACUUUAGCGAAAGUGCCGGUAAUGCCCGAUGAUCCCGUUGGAUCGCAUGAUCCGACGGGCAAGGCUCCGACGGUCUGGGAUCGGUUCAUGUCCUAUCAGCUUGUUGGUGGGGUAACGGCCUACCAAGGCGGCGACGGGUAGCGGGCGUGAGAGCGUGGCCCGCCACAUCGGGACUGAGACACGGCCCGGACACCUACGGGUGGCUGCAGCAACGAAUAUUCCGCAAUGGACGCAAGUCUGACGGAGCGACGCCGCGUGCAGGAAGAAGUCCUUCGGGAUGUAAACUGCUGUCAGGGGUGAGGAACAAUGACCAGCCCCAGAGGAAGCACUGGCUAACUCCGUGCCAGCAGCCGCGGUAAUACGGAGAGUGCAAGCGUUGUUCGGAAUUACUGGGCUUAAAGCGCGUGUAGGCGGGAUGUCAGGUGUCGCGUGAAAGCCCCGGGCUCAACCCGGGAAUGGCGCGGCAAACCGGCAUUCUUGAGGCAGGUAGAGGUGACUGGAACGACUGGUGGAGCG